UACGAAGGGGGGCUAGCGUUGUUCGGAAUUACUGGGCGUAAAGCGCGCGCAGGCGGCCAGGCAAGUCAGUGGUGAAAUCCCAGAGCUUAACUCAGGAAUGGCCUCUGAAACUGCUUGGCUUCGAGUACGGGAGAGGUGAGUGGAAUUCCCAGUGUAGAGGUGAAAUUCGUAGAUAUUGGGAAGAACACCGGUGGCGAAGGCGGCUCACUGGCCCGUUACUGACGCUCAGGCGCGACAGCGUGGGGAUCAAACAGGAUUAGAAACCCGUGUAGU
rnacentral:rRNA from 1 species